GUUUCUGUAGUGUAGUGGUUAUCACGUUCGCCUUACACGCGAAAGGUUCUCGGGUCGAAACCUGAGCGGAAGCA